rnacentral:rRNA from 1 species
UACAGAGGUCCCGAGCGUUUGUUCGGAUUCAUUGGGCGUAAAGGGUGCGUAGGCGGCGGGGAAAGUCUGAUGUGAAAUCCUGGGGCUCAACCCUGGAACUGCAUUGGAUACUUCCUUGCUAGAGUACUGGAGAGGAAACUGGAAUUUACGGUGUAGCAGUGAAAUGCGUAGAGAUCGUAAGGAAGACCAGUGGCGAAGGCGAGUUUCUGGACAGUUACUGACGUGAGGCACGAAGGCCAGGGGGAGCAAAACGGGG